rnacentral:rRNA from 1 species
UGGGGAAUUUUGGACAAUGGGCGAAAGCCUGAUCCAGCAAUGCCGCGUGUGUGAAGAAGGCCUUCGGGUUGUAAAGCACUUUUGUCCGGAAAGAAAUCCUUGGCUCUAAUACAGUCGGGGGAUGACGGUACCGGAAGAAUAAGCACCGGCUAACUACGUGCCAGCAGCCGCGGUAAUACGUAGGGUGCAAGCGUUAAUCGGAAUUACUGGGCGUAAAGCGUGCGCAGGCGGUUUGCUAAGACCGAUGUGAAAUCCCCGGGCUCAACCUGGGAACUGCAUUGGUGACUGGCAGGCUAGAGUAUGGCAGAGGGGGGUAGAAUUCCACGUGUAGCAGUGAAAUGCGUAGAGAUGUGGAGGAAUACCGAUGGCGAAGGCAGCCCCCUGGGCCAAUACUGACGCUCAUGCACGAAAGCGUGGGGAGCAAACAGGAUUAGAUACCCUGGUAGUCCACGCCCUAAACGAUGUCAACUAGUUGUUGGGGAUUCAUUUCCUUAGUAACGUAGCUAAUGCGUGAAGUUGACCGCCUGGGGAGUACGGUCGCAAGAUUAAAACUCAAAUGAAUUGACGGGGUCAU